UAGGGAAUCUUCCACAAUGGACGCAAGUCUGAUGGAGCAACGCCGCGUGAGUGAAGAAGGUUUUCGGACCGUAAAGCUCUGUUGUUGGUGAAGAAGGAUAGAGGUAGUAACUGGCCUUUAUUUGACGGUAAUCAACCAGAAAGUCACGGCUAACUACGUGCCAGCAGCCGCGGUAAUACGUAGGUGGCAAGCGUUGUCCGGAUUUAUUGGGCGUAAAGCGAGCGCAGGCGGAAGAAUAAGUCUGAUGUGAAAGCCCUCGGCUUAACCGAGGAAUUGCAUCGGAAACUGUUUUCUUGAGUGCAGAAGAGGAGAGUAGAACUCCAUGUGUAGCGGUGGAAUGCGUAGAUAUAUGGAAGAAUACCAGUGGCGAAGGCGGCUCCCUGGUCUGCAACUGACGCUGAGGCUCGAAAGCAUGGGUAGCGAACAGGAUUAGAUACCCUGGUAGUCCAUGCCGUAAACGAUGAGUGCUAAGUGUUGGGAGGCUUCCGCCUCUCAGUGCUGCAGCUAACGCAUUAAGCACUCCGCCUGGGGAGUACGACCGCAAGGUUGAAAC
rnacentral:rRNA from 1 species